rnacentral:lncRNA from 1 species
GUCGAUUUAUUUUGAACUUUAAUGUGCGUCAAGUGCUCAUUGAGCAGAAUAUGGAUUUUAUGCUAUGUCUCUUAUGUUCCCUAGAUAUAGAUUUGUGCGGGAAUGUGCCAGUAGCAGUUGCAGCAACAAUCGGUAAACCAUCAAAGCCCAAUCGAUUGCACCAGUCAUUCAGCUUUGCUGGGCAGUAAUAAAGCCAUGGAUGUGGGAAACAAAACCCACAGAUACGAAAAUGUUUUACAUGUCCAGCAUGUCCACAGCUCUCGUUCCGAUGAGCCUUUGUAUUAGGUUAUUGAAAGAGAAACAUGACCUCAGCCAAUUUAAUUCUUUAUGCUGAGAUCUCUUUGAAAGAAAGUUAAGCCAGAACAAAGCCACAGGAUCAGCAUCAUUAAAUGUAUAUUUGAUACUUCAAAUCAA